UAUAUAGGGUCCAGCUACUAUCCUAUUAAUAGGAUUGGGACCCUUGUCCUAUCAAGUCGAUUUGAAUGAUCGAAACUUCAAAUUGAUAAUCGGCACCGUUGAAGUUGAUCUACACAAUUAGAAAUGUUUAGAAACCAAAUUUUGUAUUAUUUAAAAAUCAUUAUCAAGUUCAUCUUAAGAGUUGAAAAAUGAACGGUCAUAAAUGAAUAACCUUCUUAAAAUAGAAGUUAGACUUUCUCAGUUCGUAAUAAGAGUUAUCAAACAUUAUCUUAAUAGUAUAAAGAAUUUUUUAUCAAAAAUUCAAGCAAUUUGGAUUGCUCUACACCGUUAAACAAGAAAACGGCUCAUAUAGGCCGUCAAAAAUUGUCGAUUUUACGACACUUUGAUCACAUGUAAACCAUCUAUCAAAAUUUAUGAAAAUUUAGUUUCUAGAUAUUUCAAAUACAAUACCAAUCAACUUCAACGGCUCCCGACAUCGAUUCGGAAUCCUCGAUCAUCAGAACAACUUGAUAGAACAAGUGCUACUAUCCCAUAAUAGGAUAGCUAGCAUUAGCUAUCAUAUAUAUAUAUAUAUAGAAUUAGGCUAGAAUACUAUUAAUAGUAAAACGCUUUUUUUGCUAUCAAAUUUUUAACCCUUGAAUGAAAAAUUGUAGGGUCAGGAUGAUAUUAGUCGAUUGGAGUUGAGUGGUCCCCCUAGGGUUGAGUGGUCCCCACUGGGUUAUAGUAUUUAAUUCAAUGGUUAGAAAUAAUGAAAAGAGUUGAUCCAAAGGCUAAAAUAUUGAUAGCAACAAUUGGAUUUUGCUACUAAUAGUAGUCCAGUCCAACUCUAUAUACAUAUAUAGAGUUGAACUAGAAUACUAUCGGUAGUAAACGAGUCGUUUUACUACCGAUUUGUUUUCGAUGAUAGAGCUUCCAAAUUGACGAUCAGCUCGGUUAAAUAUGAUCUAAACUAUUUAAACUACCUAGAAAUUAAAUUUCGCGCACUUUCGAUAUUGUUCUUUUAUCUAUCAAGUGAACAGAAAAAUGAAUGGCUGAAAAUGAAUACUCUUUAAAAAAUGAUGAUAGGAGUCUUGUAAUCAAGAUCAAGAGUAUAGAACUUGUUUUAAAUAGUUUAAAGAAUUUUCUAACAAAAAUUCAAUUGAUUUAGAUAUCUUUACGCCGUUAAACGAAAAAACGCCUCUUAUCGACCAUUAAAAUUACAAAUAUUGAAACCCUUUGAUCAUUAGGCAAAUGAUAUCGAAAAGGUUUAAAAUUUGAUUUCUAAACACUUCAAGUGGUAUAGAUCAUGUUCAACGGAGCCGAUCGUCAAUUUGGAAGCUCUAUUAUCGAAAACAAAUUGGUAGUAAAACGGCUCGUUUACUACCGAUAGUAUUCUAGCAAAACUCUAUAUAUAUAUAUAUAUAUAUAUAUAUAGAUAUAUAUAUAUAUAUAUUUGUUNGAAUCUCGAUCAUCAAGAACAACUUGAUAGGACAAGUGCUCCUAUCCUAUUAAUAGGAUAGUAGCAUUAGCCUAUAUAUAUAUAUAUAUAUAAUUAGGCCGGAAUACUAUUAAUAGUAAAACGCUUUUUUUGUUAUCAAAUUUUUAACCCUUGGAUGAAAAAUUGUAGGGUCAGGAUGAUAUUAAUCGGUUAGAGUUGAGUGGUCCCCCUAAGGUUGAGUGGUCCCCACUGAGUUAUAGUAUUUAAUCCAAUGGUUAGAAAUAAUGAAAAUAGUUGAUCCAAAGGCUAAAAUAUUGAUAGCAACAAUGGGAUUUUGCUACUAAUAGUAGUCCAGUCCAACUCUAUAUACAUAUAUAGAGUUGAACUAGAAUACUAUCGGUAGUAAACGAGCUGUUUUACUACCGAUUUGUUUUCGAUGAUAGAGCUUCCAAAUUGACGAUCAGCUCCGUUAAAUAUGAUCUAAACUAUUUAAACUACCUAGAAAUCAAAUUUCACGCACUUUCGAUAUUGUUCUN
rnacentral:lncRNA from 1 species